rnacentral:rRNA from 1 species
CCCUUAGAUGUCCCGGGCCGCACGCGCGCUACACUGAAGGAAUCAGCGUGGCUUUCUCCCUGACCCGAAAGGGUUGGGAAACCCGUUGAAUCUCCUUCGUGAUAGGGAUUGGGGCUUGAAAUUGUUCCCCAUGAACGAGGAAUUCCCAGUAAGCGCGAGUCAUAAGCUCGCGUUGAUUACGUCCCUGCCCUUUGUACACACCGCCCGUCGCUACUACCGAUUGAACGGUUUAGUGAGGGCCUCGGAUUGGUCUCGGCCCGCUCUUUACCGGGCGGCGCCGUUGGUCGAGAAGACGCUCGAACUUGAUCGUUUAGAGGAAGUAAAAGUCGUAACA